AUUGAACGCUGGCGGCAGGCCUAACACAUGCAAGUCGAGCGGAUGAAGGGAGCUUGCUCCUGGAUUCAGCGGCGGACGGGUGAGUAAUGCCUAGGAAUCUGCCUGGUAGUGGGGGAUAACGUCCGGAAACGGGCGCUAAUACCGCAUACGUCCUGAGGGAGAAAGUGGGGGAUCUUCGGACCUCACGCUAUCAGAUGAGCCUAGGUCGGAUUAGCUAGUUGGUGGGGUAAAGGCCUACCAAGGCGACGAUCCGUAACUGGUCUGAGAGGAUGAUCAGUCACACUGGAACUGAGACACGGUCCAGACUCCUCCGGGAGGCAGCAGUGGGGAAUAUUGGACAAAGGGCGAAAGCCUGAUCCAGCCAUGCCGCGUGUGUGAAGAAGGUCUUCGGAUUGUAAAGCACUUUAAGUUGGGAGGAAGGGCAGUAAGUUAAUACCUUGCUGUUUUGACGUUACCAACAGAAUAAGCACCGGCUAACUUCGUG
rnacentral:rRNA from 1 species